GGACUCAAGCUGCACCAACUGCUUCUGGAAUAAAGACAUGGAAGUAGAUAUAUAGAGAUAAAUUAAAAACAAAAAUUGCAAAGGUCUAAAUAGCCCUUUCGCCCAAACCGAAACCUAUUUCUUCCGUCAACGAAAAUUCAGCUGUCUCCAAAUUUCCGAACACCUCGACAAUGUCUCGGCAUAACCCGCCGGCCGCUGCCCUUACUUCCGAGACUCAAACUCUCGCCGCCGAUGCCUCCAUGAAGCCACCGCCGCAGAGACCGAUUGUUUUGGCUGACCUCAACGUUGACCCGCCGGACUCUGAAAACUACGCUUUCGCUUCCUCUUCGUCUUCACUUCCUAUUUCAAGGAUAACUAUUGAUGAGACGGUUGCAGAAAAACUUGCCUUUAUGCCCAAAGAUGCUGAGGCAUUGGACAUGGAGACUUCCCUGUCGAAGAAAGUUGGGAGAAGCCGCACAAAAAAUAUUAAGGUGGAGUAUCUUCCUGAUUUUGGUGUAGCCGACACAGAUGCUGACCAAAGUGGUCAAGGGGUCACCACUCGUGAGGAAAAAGUUAGCAGCCUUAAAACUGGGCUGGUGCAUGUUGCUCGGAAGAUGACAAAGAAUAUGCAUGCUCAUUUCAUACUUGGCUUGAUGUAUCAAAGGAUGGGUCAACCUCUAAAGGCUAUUUUGGCGUAUGAAAAAGCCGCAGAGAUAUUACUUCGUUCUGAAGAAGAAAUUGAUAGACCGGAGUUGCUUUCUGUGGUUCAGCUUCACCAUGCUCAGUGUAUACUUCUAGAGAGCCUGGAGCAUCCUAGUUCAGAUAAAGAACUUGAACCUCAUGAACUUGAAGAAAUUUGCUCCAAGCUGAGGGAGUCCAUUGAAUCAGAUGUUAGGCAGGCAUCUGUUUGGAACACGUUAGGUUUAAUACUUCUUAGAACUGGUCGCUUGCAGAGUGCUAUAUCUGUGUUUUCUUCUUUGUUGGAGAUUGUCCCUGACUACUUGGAUGGGCUCGGAAACCUUGGAAUCGCAUAUCUUCAAGGUGGGUAUUUGGAACUUUCAGAGAAGUGUCUCCAAGAUUUGGUUUUGAAGGAUCAAAAUCAUCCUGCAGCCUUACUGAACUAUGCUGCCCUUCUUCUAAUUAAAUAUGGUUCAGUUAUCGCAGGUGCUGGUGCUAAUGCUGAUGCUCAAACUUCUAUGGAUCAUGUUUCAGCAGUCUGCAUUGCUAAGGAUUGUUUAUUAGCAGGAGCAAAAUCUGACCCCAGAGCAGCUCAUAUUUGGACAAAUCUGGCCAAUGCUUAUCAUUUGAUUGGUGAUCAUAUAACUUCUGGAAAAUGCUUAGAAAAGGCUGGAAAAUUGGAUCCAAAUUGUUUGGCCACACGAUAUGCUGUUGGAGUUCACCGAAUCAGAGAUGCUGAAAGAUCCCAAAAUCCUAAUGAACAGCUUACAUGGGCAGGAAAUGAGAUGGCUUCAGUAUUAAGAGAAGGAGAUCCUGUCCUCAUUGAACCUCCAAUAGCAUGGGCAGGUCUUGCUCUGGUCCACAAGGCUCAGCAUGAGAUUGCAGCAGUAUUUGAAAUUGAUCCCAAGGAAUUGUUGGAAGUAAAAGAUCGUGCCAUGUGCAGUCUAAAACAGGCAAUAGGAGAAGAUCCAGAUGAUGCUUUACAGUGGAACCAAAUUGGCCUUCAUUGUCUUUGUACACAGCAGCUUAAAAUGUCUCAGACGUACUUCAAGUCCGCAGUCGCUCGUCUUAAUGACUGUGUCUAUACAUGGUCAAAUCUUGGUAUCUCUCUUCAGCUUCUUGAGGAAUCUUCACAAGCUGAAGAAGUGUAUAAACAUGCCCUAUCAUUAGCUACAGCUCAACAAGCACCUGCUAUAUUUUCCAACCUCGGGAACUUUUAUCGCCAGAUGAGAAAAUAUGAAAGCGCAAAAGCAAUGUUCAGUAAGGCUCUUGAACUGCGGCCUGGUUAUGCUCCAGCGUAUAAUAAUCUCGGUCUUGUGUUCAUAGCUGAGGAUCACUUCGAAGAAGCUAAGUUCUGUUUCAACAAGGCUAUUGAAUCAGAUCCAUUUUUGGAUGCUGCUAAAUCUAACAUAAUUAAGGUGGCUACCUUGUCUAGAAGGGAUAUGAGCUUGCAUUCAGCUUGAUAUUUGAUUAGGUGAUAUGGAGUUGGUGAUCCUCAUAAAUGACCAGCAACCACGAAGUUCGGACCUUUUUGUUUGUGCACAUCAAGCAUGUGACUUUAUCUUGCCAUCAUCGAGCCAUUAAUCAUUUAUGCGACCAUACACAAAUCACUAUUCAGGGCAGCUUCAAAUGGGUUAGCUACCUGCCAUUCUAUCUUCUGCAAUAUUUGCCUCACUUUCUGUCAAGGAUAUGUUCCGUCUGCAUUGUUGGUCUAUUCAGAUCUUCCAAUAAUCAGUACAACUUCGAGUUCAUGCCCUAGCUUAAGCUGCACCAACUGCUUCUGGAAUGAAGACAUGGAAGUGUUGCUCAAGGAAGUGUAUUGACAUGAGGAAAGGAACAAUGUUUCAGUUGGGAUGCUGCUGCAGUCGGAGAUGUAGUGAAUUCUGGAGGAAAAAGAUUACUAUGCAUGCAAUCCUCCUCCUCCUCCAAACAGUGCCAAGAUGGGAAGCCGAAUGAGUAGUAGAACUGCUCUGUGUCAUAUUGUGCUCAAGUCCGACUGGCCUGGGGUUCGUCUCCAAGAGAGCUGCCAUCGUAUAUCAGUCUCGAAGUGAAGUAUGCCACUUAAUUCAAGUGUUCGAACUUCAAACUGGUCGAAGAGGCAAAAUGGUUGAUCCUCGGCAGAUAAAACGAAGAACACACACCAAAAACGAGGAGGACUAUUUCCUAAUUCCUAAUUUUGUGGGCCCAACAAAUGCUAAAUUUCCAACUUUGGUUGGAUGACCAGAUAAAGGGCACAUUCUAUUGCUGCUUAACUGCAAUUGGACAUAAACCAAUUAUUAAAAGCAAGUAUUAUUUACUUAACCCAAGCCAAAAGAUGUGCCUUCCCCAGUUGCAAACUACGGCUACUAUAUUAAACGUAAAUAAAGCUCACAUUACCAUCC